AACGUAGGAGACAAACGUUAUCCGGAGUUACUGGGCGUAAAGGGCGUGUAGGUGGUUUCGUAAGUCUGGCGUGAAAUUUUUCGGCUUAACCGGGAAAGGUCGUCGGAUACUGCGGGACUGGAGGACGGGUAGAGGCGUGUGGAAUUCCGGGUGUAGUGGUGAAAUGCGUAGAGAUCCGGAGGAACACCAGUGGCGAAGGCGACACGCUGGGCCGUACCUGACACUGAUGCGCGACAGCAUGGGGAGCAAACAGG
rnacentral:rRNA from 1 species